AACGAACGUUAGCGGCGCGCUUAACACAUGCAAGUCGAGCGAGAAGGGGGCAACCCCAGUAAAGCGGCGCACGGGUGAGUAACACGUAGGUAAUCUACCUCGAGGUGGUGGAUAACCUUCCGAAAGGAGGGCUAAUACAGCAUGAGACCACGUUCUCGAAAGAGGAUGAGGUAAAAGCGGGCCUCUAUACAUAAGCUCGCGCCACGAGAUGAGCCUGCGGCCCAUCAUGGUAGUUGGUAGGGUAAUGGCCUACCAAGCCGAAGACGGGUAGCUGGUCUGAGAGGAUGAUCAGCCACACUGGAACUGAGACACGGUCCAGACUCCUACGGGAGGCAGCAGUGGGGAAUCUUGCGCAAUGGGCGAAAGCCUGACGCAGCGACGCCGCGUGAGUGAUGAAGGCCUCGGUUGGUAAGACUCUGUGGAGGGGACGGAAGUAAGGGUUAGGUUAAGU
rnacentral:rRNA from 1 species